rnacentral:lncRNA from 1 species
AAAAGGUCACGGAUCGCCUACAGUGACGAAGUACGGAAUGAGCUCCUAGGGGAUGCUGGGAAUUCCUCAGAGAACCAGAGGGCACAUCUGCUGGAUAACACGGAAAGGCUGGAGAGGUCAUCUCGGAGACUAGAGGCUGGAUACCAGAUAGCAGUGGAGACCGAGCAAAUCGGCCAAGAGAUGUUGGAAAACCUGAGUCAUGACAGAGAGAGGAUACAGCGGGCACGUGAGCGACUCCGGGAAACAGAUGCAAACUUGGGGAAGAGCUCUCGGAUUCUGACUGGGAUGUUGCGAAGGACUAAGCCAGAAUCCAGUCAAGGACAGAAAUUCAUAGAGACCCGGCGGGCUCCCCAGAGAUGCUGAUAACCUUUCCACACUUGUUAUGGACCCACUAAUGACGCUACUUCAGGCCAGUACUCACAUUUCAGUACCACUUCUAAUGCAUUAAUUCAUCAUUAUUAGCUAUGCUAAUUACGAGUAACUAAUUAAUAAGAUAAAGAAAGCUGCCACC